UACGUAGGGUGCAAGCGUUGUCCGGAAUUAUUGGGCGUAAAGAGCUCGUAGGCGGUUUGUCACGUCUGCUGUGAAAACUCGGGGCUUAACUCCGGGCCUGCAGGUGGGUACGGGCAGACUAGAGUGCGGUAGGGGAGACUGGAAUUCCUGGUGUAGCGGUGAAAUGCGCAGAUAUCAGGAGGAACACCGGUGGCGAAGGCGGCUCUCUGGGACGGUACUGACGCUGAGACGCGAAAGCGUGGGGAGCAAACAGG
rnacentral:rRNA from 1 species